CGGGAUGUAGAUCAGUUUGGCUAGAUCACCACAUUUGGGAUGUGGGAGUCGCAGGUUCAAAUCCUGUCAUCCCGA
rnacentral:tRNA from 1 species